CAUACUGGUAUAUCUGUGCUGAUCUGUGGUGGUGAUCUGUGCGCAUUUUGAGCUUGAGCUUAGCUAACCGUCCUGUUAAUCUGAUUAUUGGUCCCUCCUAUAUUUCCAUUUCACUGUCAAGUGUCAACAGUCCUCUUGGAUCCUAACAUUCAGUGAAUUCUUUUUAUUUCAGAAUCCUGAAUUCCAGUUCCAGUUGGUGUUACGUGGCAUAAUACUUCACGCAUCAAGUACUUGUUCCAGAAUACAGACGCGAUCCGCUGCAACACAAACCGAACCUGACAACGAGAUAACAAACACACUAGUAGCGCAUUUCUAGGUACUGAUAAAUUCAUGUCUCGACAACUGAAGAAAGUACUUGGGCCACCUCAAAUAGGUCCUGAGCACAGCUCGUCAGGGGAAGAGGAAGCUCAUUGUUCAUAUGCUAGUAAAAAACGGAUCUCAUUUGCAGAGCUUGAGGUUCAGUCACCUCAAUUAGAAUAUGAAACGUUUGAGUCGACAAGGAGUGAAGAUAGUGCCUCAGAGGCACCAAGAAGUGCUAUAAAGCAAACACAUAAGUCCAAGAAGUCAAAGAAAAAGUCAAAGAAGAAGUCAAAUAAAUUGAAAACAAGUAAAUCAACCUCUGCUACCGCUGAUGAUAUUGAUGAGGUAGUCCAACAAGUGAAUAAUAUGCUGGGAGAACCGUCUCCCAAAGAAGAAACAGUUUCAGACAAAAAACCCAAAUGCAAUAUAUUUUCAAUAAGAAAAGUGCACCUAAAUGCCUGUAAUGAACUAGACAGGCGCUUUCCUGACGACACUCAGAAGAAUCGAAGAAAACCGAAAGAAGAGCCUAGAGACAUUGUUAGAAACCCAAUCACUCCUCUAAAAUCAUAUCAAUUCAAAUGCAUGGGAUUAUCUAUGGCAGUUAUGUCUGUUCAAGAUGGCAUCACUUAUUUUGCGUAUACCCACAAUGCAGAAUACCAGACGCGCCACAAGCAAAUGUUAUCACUCUUGGCACAAAGGAAAGCUGUAGAAGUAGUGCCUGUGUAUGAAUCGACACGCAAUAUGCACGUAGAGGGAAUGCUAGAGCUUUUCAGGCUAUAUUGCCAACAAGAAGAAUACACCACAGCAAUUACGCUGCUAGAAAAUCUGAUUGGCUACCUACAAUUUAUGGCACACCCCUUCUUCAACCUAACUAACGUGAAUCAUCGGUUGGAGUACUCGUAUGUUGAGAACCGAGCUUUUCACAUAGCUAUAUUGUUAUAUAGUUACUUGCAGAGCAACAUAGCCUGCCACAGAACCGCUCUAGAGUUGGCGAAAAUGUUAACAAACCUGGACCCUUCGGACCCUUUGGGGAUGAUUUUUAUAAUUGAUACAUUUGCUAUAAGAGCUCGGGAAUACAAGUGGUUGAUUGAAGCAAUUGACUAUUGGGAAGCGAAUAGAAAUGCAAAAUACCUGUUUAACUUGAAGUACUCCUAUGCUUUGGCCCAUUUCCACAUAUUAAACAAUAAAAAAGAGGAUUUAAAAGUAGCAGAUGACCUACUCAAGGAGGCUUUGAUUAUGUUUCCCAUGGGCUUGAUGGUUAUUCUGUCCAAGGGCACGGUACCGGCGAGUAGACUGGAAAAAAUUCGUUCUCAUGAAAUGUUCGCUGACUACAAAAGCACAAUCUUUCCACUGCGUGAUGUGAUCAAGCUGUAUGCCGCGAUGGUCGGCUCGCGCUGGAUGGAGCCCCCGGUGCUAGAUUGGCUGCUACGGAACGUGGACAAGCUUAUUCACGAUUACGAUUCCGACUACGGCGUUCUGGAAACGCGAGUUUAUAUACAAUCAGAAUGGCAUAAGACGCUGUAUAGAUGCUGGCCCGUCCAGGUUGGCCGCCAUCUUACUGUUAUCUUCCCUUUGUCGGAUUUGGUUGCAGACGGGCUGCUAGAGCCGAUAGAUCUCAUGGAUUUCCAGGCAGAAUACUGCAACCCCUUGGCGCUGGAAAUCACGGAAGAGGAAGUGCGGGAACUUAUGCAACCUUAGAAGAUUUAUAUCCUUUCCUAACCAAAAUGUGAAAACCCGGAGAAUGUCAGAAUCCCGUUUGUAAUAAAUAUAGGUUUAGUUUUUUUUUUUGUUUUUGUUUUAUAGUUUACUAGCAGAUGCCCGCAACUUCGUCCGCGUGGAUUUAGGUUUUCCGAAAUCCCGUGGUAACUCUUUGAUUUUAGUAGUAGAUAAAAAGUAGCCUAAGUUCUAAUCCAGGAUAAUAUCUACCUCCAUUUUACACAUAGCGUGUGGAGAUUUAAUGUUUGUUUUAAUUUAUAUUUUGUGGCCCAUAAUGAGGAUAUGGUUGAUGCAAGUUUCGCUCCGUGAUGUGGAUCUAGUAGGUUUUCGUAUUUUAUGUACAAUGUUAUAAUUUAACAGUAGACUAUGACAUUGUAAAAUUUUGAAGUUGAGUUAUUAAUUAAUAUACUGAUGUUCAUAUCACCGCAUAUUACUAAUUUACAUUCGUUAAAUCAUGUAACAUUAUAUCAAGUUUAAUAAAAUUUGGAAUGGAGAUAGAUAAUAUCCUGGAUUAGCACAGGCUUCUUUUUAUCCCGGAAAAUCAAAGAGUUCCCACGGGAUUUCGAAAAACCUAAAUCCACGCGGGCGAAGUCGCGGGCAUCGGCUAGUUUUAAAUAAUUUUAUUUUUAAGUUGAAGAUAAAUGCAUACUAAUAUUUAUGGAAGCGUCUAGACCGGCACAAGUGGUUAUUCGAUUAUAAAAAUAUCCGGCCCGGCUACGAGUUUUGCAUAAAGGAACUACAAGCUAAUAAAUUACCUUGCGGUAAUAUAUUGCGCUAAUAUAUUUAUUAAAAAUGAAACCACCGUUUGUGCUUUAUGGUACUUUCUAAUGUGGCGAUCGCCAUUACAUGUGAUUGGCUGGCUGAUAAUAAUAUUAUGUUGUUUUAAAGCGCUGGUUUACUAAGAAUUUAAACUUUAAAAAAUAGCUGUUUCUCCGAAGUAUUUAUAGAUUAGGACAUAAAAAAUUUGGUAACGAUCACGUAUAAUAUUGUGAGGCUGGUGAUAGGUUCACAAGACAAAGGGCAACUUUUUGAUGCCAAAUAUUGUUGAGGUCUGCCUGCGUCUGGUUGCGUUAUUUAUUUAAAGCGACUGAAAAACGAGCAAGAAAGUAAGACGUACGAGUUGUAGUCAUAAGAAUUACGUAAGUUAAAUAUUCGUUUGCGUUUUGGAGCAGCCUUUCAAGGAAUAUGCAUAAGUAAAAACGAUAAAAUAAUUACCUGACAGUGACAAGGUAUAGAAACUAACUCCAAAGUGCAACCGAAUAUUGAUAAAUCGCAGAAGUAUAUACAACAGACUUAAGACUACUUUCUAUACCAUCACCAGUAUUAAGUUUCAUUUUGGGCACUGUUACUCGUUUUUCAGGUGUCAUAAAUACUUGACGCAAACACUUAAGAGCAGGCCCACACUGCGAAAUUUAAGCACUCCAUUUUUUCCAGCAAAAUUUUGUGACAUGGAAAUUGUUUGAAGCCGUUCGCGCGUAUUUUUUCGUGAAUUUCUAUAUUUACAGAUAUUUGGGGAAAAAAUCGUGCAGUAAAAAUUCGUACUACAAUCAAAUAUAAUUAUUUGAUUGGCCUUGCCCUUAGAGCUGACAGACUUACUUAUUUAUCAUAUUAGAGAGUUGGUCUUGGACCUUGGAAACUAUCAUCAGCAAUAUUCUUGAUCGUUACGAAAGCGACUAAUCUAUAUUUUGGAUGCCAUUUUCUCACCAAAAGAGGAGUUUCAGUUCAAAUUUAAAAAAAGUCAAGAUGCAGUUUAUUUUCAUAAUCUAUUUUUUGUCCUCCACGCAAGCUUUAGGUGCGGGCUUUGCUCUGAGAGAGUUAAAUAAAAUUAAUAAAUUCAGCCAUUCACAGCAAUUGCGAUUGUAACCACCUUGUUAUAAGAAUUUACAAGGCUAGUGAGUUAUUUGAAUGUUUACCGGUUAAUAAUAACCGUUUUUUUUUUCGAAAUUUGACUCUAGUCCUUAGAAAAGUAUUUUAUCUAUAAACUCAGCAGUAUAAUAAAUUGUCAUUGCAACCGUUCGCACCCUUGUAGAUUCUAAAUCAUUCAAGAUUUAGAAGAUUACGAUUGUAGUCAUAUUGUUAUAACAACUUAUAAGUCUAGUAAGUUAUUUGAUUGUUUAUCGAUUAAAAACCGUUUUUUUUUUCGAAAUUUGACUCAUUUGAUUAACUAUAAAAAAUUAUCAUAAGAAAUAUAGCAUAAUAAAUAUUGUCAUUCGCAACCUGUGAUUUCUUUGAUUUAAAUUGUUGCUUGACAUUUUUAUUUCGGUUAUUGAGUCAAAUUUCAAUUAUUUUUAAUAGUCUUUUUUAUAGUCUCGAGGUCUCUAGCCGACAGUGGCUUAUUAUAGACCUACUAGUACGUAACUUGGUCAUGCAAGUGAAAUAAAUAAAACUUUUGUGUUUUUCACUGUAAAAUAACUAUAUCAAGAGAAAUUUUUGGAGUGAAACUUCGUGUUUUAAUCAUAACAGAUAAUAUUAAUAAAAAUAGAACAAUGGUAUUGAUUUCCGAAUUUCAUGCAGCUAACCAAGUUACGUUCUAUUGACCUGUUGUCACACGUAUACCUGAUUAGUAGGUAGAAUUAAAGAUAUAUAGUACCUAUUUCGUUAUAAAAAAAAGUUGAUUUAUUAUACGGAAUCGUACUAGAGCGAGCCUGAUUUAUUGUUGGCCGCCGCCAAGGGCGAGUCCCUCCUAGAUCUUAAACAGACAACAAGGUUCUUAAUAUAUUUUUCUUAUUUAUUUUAUUUAUUUAUUUAUUGUAU